rnacentral:rRNA from 1 species
CAGAGGGUGCAAGCGUUAAUCGGGAAUUACUGGGCGUAAAGCGCGCGUAGGUGGUUUGUUAAGUUGGAUGUGAAAUCCCCGGGCUCAACCUGGGGAACUGCAUUCAAAACUGACUGACUAGAGUAUGGUAGAGGGUGGUGGAAUUUCCUGUGUAGCGGUGAAAUGCGUAGAUAUAGGAAGGAACACCAGUGGCGAAGGCGACCACCUGGACUAAUACUGACACUGAGGUGCGAAAGCGUGGGGAGCAAACAGGAUU